rnacentral:tRNA from 1 species
GGUUAGUUAGCAUAAUGGUAAUGUUUUGGUCUGCAAAGCUUAAAGAUGUAUGUUCAAAUCAUACACUAACCU